rnacentral:rRNA from 1 species
GAAUGCUGACAUAAGUAACGAUAAAGCGGGUGAAAAGCCCGCUCGCCGGAAGACCAAGGGUUCCUGUCCAACGUUAAUCGGGGCAGGGUGAGUCGACCCCUAAGGCGAGGCCGAAAGGCGUAGUCGAUGGGAAACAGGUUAAUAUUCCUGUACUUGGUGUUACUGCGAAGGGGGGACGGAGAAGGCUAUGUUGGCCGGGCGACGGUUGUCCCGGUUUAAGCGUGUAGGCUGGUUUUCCAGGCAAAUCCGGAAAAUCAAGGCUGAGGCGUGAUGACGAGGCACUACGGUGCUGAAGCAACAAAUGCCCUGCUUCCAGGAAAAGCCUCUAAGCAUCAGGUAACAUCAAAUCGUACCCCAAACCGACACAGGUGGUCAGGUAGAGAAUACCAAGGCGCUUGAGAGAACUCGGGUGAAGGAACUAGGCAAAAUGGUGCCGUAACUUCGGGAGAAGGCACGCUGAUAUGUAGGUGAAGUCCCUCGCGGAUGGAGCUGAAAUCAGUCGAAGAUACCAGCUGGCUGCAACUGUUUAUUAAAAACACAGCACUGUGCAAACACGAAAGUGGACGUAUACGGUGUGACGCCUGCCCGGUGC